UUACUGACGCAUCAAAUAAAUACAAAUUUGGUCGUAUACGUAAGUCAUUUUUUCAUCCUUUUCAAAUUUCUUUAUUUACUUCAUACACAAUAUUUUAUCUCGUAUUAUUAGUAACAUUAUUUUAUUCUCUUUGUUUACGUAAUGAUAUUCUACUUUCUUUCCUUAUUUUUGGUCGCAGCACGAGUUUACCGUAAGCCACUUUUUCACCCUUUUUUAAUUUAAUUUCUUAUUUACUUUGUACACAAUACUUUAUCUCAUUUUAGUAAUAUUACUUAAUUUUAUUUUUCCAUUAUAGCACGUAUACGUGAAUGUGAGCACGAUGAUGAUUGUCCACAAAUUGUUUCAUCUAUGGUUAUGAGAUGCAAUAAUUACAAUUGUGUAGCUAUUAACCAUGAAGAUAUAUAGUUUGUAGAGAAUGAGCUUUUUAGCUAGCAAAUGCCAUGAAUGGGAAGAAUGAGCUCUUUAGCUAGCAAAAUAUUUGUGCAAAGUUGUUAUUUAGUUAUUGGUACUCAAUAAUAAUAAUAAUAAUUUUCUAUUUUUAUUUCAUAUUCGAGUUUCAUAAUCUUGAAGUUAUAAUUAACUUGUACUCUAAG
rnacentral:lncRNA from 1 species